rnacentral:lncRNA from 1 species
AAGACAGUCAUAGAUCAUGCCCUCCUUUAUUUGAAGAUGGAACUAGACUUUUUUGGACCCCAAUUUAAUGCUCUGUGUGUUCUGUUUUGUGAAUUUGCCAUGUCCACAGUAAAUACAUUUUUAUAAACCUAAAAACUUGAAAUUAAUCUAGCUACAAGCAGGAAAGCAUAAGAUAAAAAAGCUAUUUUUCUUUUUCUGCAGGUGUUUGAGUUAGUUAGGAACCAAAACACAUGCUUCCUACAGUGAGAGAAAUCAAAGCAUUCAUAUGAAAGCAAAGAACACUACCUCUUCAAGUAAAAUAAACAAGGUGAGUUUGCCAGUGCCUCCUCCAGACUUCUGCUCAAGUUCCCUGCAGGAAUUGCAGGCACUUUAGAUCAGGGAAGGAAGAUACAAAUCUUUCUGGACUGGAGACAGAGUGACUGAGUUCUCAGAAAAAGCAAACUGAACAGAGGCAAUAAGUAAGAAAGAGGCUUACUCCUAUCCAGUGGACGCUGGAGAAGACCAUUCUUUUCAUGACAUUUGCAUGAUUACAUCCACUGCAAGUAUG